rnacentral:rRNA from 1 species
CUGAUGCGUUGUUGGGUAGGGGAGCGUUCUGUAAGCCUGUGAAGGUGGCCUGUGAGGGUUGCUGGAGGUAUCAGAAGUGCGAAUGCUGACAUAAGUAACGAUAAAGCGGGUGAAAAGCCCGCUCGCCGGAAGACCAAGGGUUCCUGUCCAACGUUAAUCGGGGCAGGGUGAGUCGACCCCUAAGGCGAGGCCGAAAGGCGUAGUCGAUGGGAAACGGGUUAAUAUUCCCGUACUUGGUGUUACUGCGAAGGGGGGACGGAGAAGGCUAUGUUGGCCGGGCGACGGUUGUCCCGGUUUAAGCGUGUAGGUGUGUGUUCCAGGUAAAUCCGGUUCACUUUAACACUGAGGCGUGAUGACGAGGCACUACGGUGCUGAAGCAACAAAUGCCCUGCUUCCAGGAAAAGCCUCUAAGCAUCAGGUAACAUCAAAUCGUACCCCAAACCGACACAGGUGGUCAGGUAGAGAAUACCAAGGCGCUUGAGAGAACUCGGGUGAAGGAACUAGGCAAAAUGGUGCCGUAACUUCGGGAGAAGGCACGCUGACAC